AGUGAACGCUGGCGGUAGGCCUAACACAUGCAAGUCGAACGGCAGCACAGGAGAGCUUGCUCUCUGGGUAGCGAGUGGCGGACGGGUGAGGAAUACAUCGGAAUCUACUCUGUCGUGGGGGAUAACGUAGGGAAACUUACGCUAAUACCGCAUACGACCUACGGGUGAAAGCAGGGGAUCUUCGGACCUUGCGCGAUUGAAUGCGCCGAUGUCGGCUUAGCUAGUUGGCGGGGUAAAGGCCCACCAAGGCGACGAUCCGUAGCUGGUCUGAGAGGAUGAUCAGCCACACUGGAACUGAGACACGGUCCAGACUCCUACGGGAGGCAGCAGUGGGGAAUAUUGGACAAUGGGCGCAAGCCUGAUCCAGCCAUACCGCGUGGGUGAAGAAGGCCUUCGGGUUGUAAAGCCCUUUUGUUGGGAAAGAAAUCCAGCUGGCUAAUACCCGGUUGGGAUGACGGUACCCAAAGAAUAAGCACCGGCUAACUUCGUGCCAGCCGCCGCCGUAA
rnacentral:rRNA from 1 species